UCCAGUUGCGAGGUGUUAGCUACUACGCAAUGGAAGCUGCGGAGGGACCGCCACUGUAUUUGGGGGAGAAUUGCAGAAUUCAGUGAAUCAUCGAAUCUUUGAACGCACAUUGCGCCCGCCAGUAUUCUGGCGGGCAUGCCUGUUCGAGCGUCAUUACAACCCUCAGGCCCCCGGGCCUGGCGUUGGGGAUCGGCGGAAGCCCCCUGCGGGCACAACGCCGUCCCCCAAAUACAGUGGCGGUCCCGCCGCAGCUUCCAUUGCGUAGUAGCUAACACCUCGCAACUGGAGAGCGGCGCGGCCACGCCGUAAAACACCCAACUUCUGAAUGUUGACCUCGAAUCAGGUAGGAAUACCCGCUGAACUUAUGCAUAUCAAUAAGCGGAGGAAAAGAAACCAACAGGGAUUGCCCCAGUA
rnacentral:rRNA from 1 species